rnacentral:rRNA from 1 species
UACAGUGGGGGCAAGCGUUGUUCGGAAUUACUGGGCGUAAAGGGUUCGUAGGUGGCCAACUAAGUCAGACGUGAAAUCCCUCAGCUUAACUGGGGAACUGCGUCUGAUACUGGAUGGCUUGAGUGCAGGAGAGGAAUGCGGAAUUCCAGGUGUAGCGGUGAAAUGCGUAGAUAUCUGGAGGAACACCGGUGGCGAAGGCGGCAUUCUGGACUGCAACUGACACUGAGGAACGAAAGCCAGGGGAGCAAACGGG